UUUGUCCCCUAUCUGACACAAGACAACAAAAAAUUCCAAACACUGCAAUUAACAAUCCAUAAUAUAAUCAGCGCAUUUCAACUACUAACAAAACCAAUUUUUUUCUUAGAGUAAAUUUUAUGUAAACAUAUAUUGUCUACUGAUCAAUUCAUCAGUAAUGAAUUACAUGAUAUGCAACGAAUUUGCAAACUAAUGAUUUAUUGACAACCUAGCUGUAUGUUUUGUUCUAUUUUAUUUUUUUCUUUUCAGAACAUCAAGCUCUUACAAAUGAUGUAUAUUUAAUAGAUGGUAACCAGACCAGCUUAACAGCUAAUCACAUUGCUUGAAAAUGCCAUAUGCCGUAGGCGCUGCAGAAUGUUAGAACAAUAUUAUUUUGAGAAAAUGAAAAAGUCAUUGAUCACAAUGAUUCAGAAUUUAUGCACCAUUGAUUACCAGUUGAAAACAAUUCAAAACCAGUUACAAAGGUCACCAGCCACAAUUGCCAGAUCAAACCUUGCUAAGGUAUCUACAGUCGCAGUAGCAAAUGAAGCUGAAGACAACUAAAGUGCAACAAGUGUUGGCCCAUGCCAUAAUAUCCACAAGAUUUCAUAAUUUUUCCUUUAUUGCAUUGUGUUGGUGUGUUUUUGUGUUUUUGAUCUAAAGCAAACAAAUGUUGGCCCAUGGCGUAAUAUCCACAAGAUUUCAUACUUUUUUCAUUUUUGCGUUGAUUUCUUCUGUUCAUGUGGGUUUGAGUUAAAGCAGACAGCGAACCAUGAAUAAAGAAUUUAACUUUGAAAAAGUUA
rnacentral:lncRNA from 1 species